ensembl:lncRNA
AUAUCCAUCCAUCCAUCCAUUUUCAACCGCUUAUCCGGGGUCAGGUCGUGGGGGCAACAGCUCCAGCAGGGGACCCCAAACUUCCCUUUCCCGGGCCAUAUCUACCAGCUCUGACUGGGGGAUCCCAAGGCGUUCCUAGGCCAGUGCAGAGAUAUAAUCUCUCCACCUAGUCCUGGGUCUUCCCCGGGGCCUCUUCCCAGCUGGCCGUGCCUGGAACACCUCCCUAGGGAGGCGCCCAGGGGGCAUCCUCACCAGAUGCCCAAACCACCUCAACUGGCUCCUUUCGACGCAAAGGAGCAGCAGCUCUACUCAGAGCUCCUCGCGAAUGGCUGAGCUUCUCACCCUAUCCCUAAGGGAGACGCCAGCCACUCUCCCGAGGAAACCCAUUUCGGCCGCUUGUACCCGUGACCUAGUUCUUUCGGUCAUGACCCAUCCGUCAUGACCAUAGGGAGGGUAGGAACGAAGAUUUACCGGUAGAUCGAGAGCUCUGCCUUCCGGCCCAGCUCUCUUUUUGUCACAACGGUGCGAUAAAGCGAGUGCAAUACCGCCCCCGCUGCUCCGAUUCUCCGGCUAAACUCACACUCCAUCUUCCCCUCACUCGUGAACAAGACCCCGAGGUACUUGAACUCCUUCACUUGGGUUAAGGACACAUUCCCUACCUGGAGUAGGCAAUCCAUCGGUUUACUGCUGAGAACCAUGGCCACAGAUUUAGAGGUGCUAAUCCUCAUCCCGACCGCUUCAUAGUUGACUGCGAAACGCUCCAGUGAGAGUUGGAGGUCACAGACAGAAGAUGCCAUCAGGACCACAUCAUCUGCAAAAAGCAGCGAUGAGAUCCGCAGCCCCCCGAACUGUAGACCCUCCUCCCCCCGACUACGCCUCGAUAUCCUGUCCAUGAAAACCACAAACAAGAUUGGUGACAAGGCGCAGCCCUAGCGAAGGCCAACCCCCACUGGAAACGCCUUCGACUUACUGCCGAGCACCCGAACACAGCUCUCGCUUUGGGCGUACAAGGAUUGGAUGGCCCCAAGCAAGGACCCCUCACCCCGUACUCCCGCAGCACCUCCCACAGUAUCUGUCGGGGGACCCGGUCAUACGCCUUCUCAGAGUCCACAAAACACAUGUAGACUGGAUGAGCAUACUCCCAAGCCCCCUCUAUGAUCCUGGAAAGAGUGAAGAGCUGGUCCGUUGUUCCACGACCAGGAAGAAAACCACAUUGUUCCUCUUCAAUCCUUGGUUCGACUAUCGGCCAAACCCUCCGUUCCAGCACCUUAGAGUAGACUUUACCCGGGAGGCUGAGUAGUGUGAUACCCCUGUAAUUGGCACACACUCUCUGGUCCCCCUUUUUGAAGAGGGGUACCACCACCCCGGUCUGUGGCACUGUCCCAGACUUCCACGCAAUGUUGAAGAGGCGUGUCAUCCAAGACAACCCCCCAACACCCAUUGCUUUUAGCAUCUCUGGACGGAUCUCAUCAAUCCCCGGGGCUUUGCCACUGCGGAGUUGUUUGACUAGCUCAGUGACCUCCACCAGGCCAAUUGACGAUGAUCCCAGCUCCGUCUCUACCAAAGAGGGCGUAGUAGUUGGGUUCAGGAGUUCCUCAGGUGUUCCUUCCACCGCCCGAUAGCCUCCUCAGUCGCGGUCAACAGGGUCCCAUCCUUACUGUACACAGCUUGGAUGGUUCCCCGUUUCCCCCUCCUGAGGUGCCGGAUGGUCUUCCAGAAGCACUUUGGUGCCGACCGAAAAUCCUUUUCCAUAGUUACCCCAAACUCCUCCCAUACUCGCUGCUUUGCCUCCAUCACGGCAGAGGCUUCUGCCCUUCGAGCCUGUCAGUACACUGCAACUGCCUCUGGAGUCCCACCGGAUAUCAUAACCCGGAAGGCCUCCUUCUUCAGUCGGACGGCUUCCCUGACCACCGGUGUCCACCACGGGGUUUGAGGGUUACCGCCCCUUGAUGCACCUAAGACCUUGAGGCCACUCACUGCCGCGGCUUCAGCAAUGGAGGUUUUGAACAUACACCACUCUGGUUCAAUGUCCCCUACCUCCACAGGAAUGUGAGAGAAGCUCCGCCGGAGGUGUGAGUUGAAAAUCUUUUGGACCGGGGCCUCCUCCAGACGUUCCCAGUUCACCCUCACUACACGCUUGGGUUUACCGGGUCUGUCCCGAUCUGACCCAGCUCACAACCAGAUGGUGAUCAGUUGACAGCUCUGCCCCUCUCUUUACCCGAGUGUCCAGAACAUGCGGCCUCAGAUCAGACGAUAAGAUUACAAAAUCGAUCAUUGAUCUUUGGCCUAGGGUGCUCUGGUAACACGUACACCUAUGAUCAUCCUAAUGUUCGGACAUGGUGUUUGUUAUGGACAAUCCGUGUCUGGCACAGAAGUCCAGUAACAAACACCCGCUCGGGUUCAGAUCAGGGAGGCCAUUCCUACCCAUCACGCCUCUCCAGUUAUCUCCAUCUUCGCCCACGUGCGCAUUGAAGUCUCCCAGUAGGACUAUGGAGUCCCCUACUGGAGCCCCAUGCAGGACUCAGUUCAGGGUCUCCAAAAAGGCUGAAUACUCUGAGCUGCCGUUUGGUGCAUAUGCACAGACAACAGUCAGAGUUUUCCCCCCCACCACCCGAAGGCGUAGGGAGGCGACCCUUUUGUCCACCGGGGUAAACUCCAAUGUAGCAGCACUCAGCCGGGGACUUAUGAGUAUCCCCACACCCGCCUGGCGCCUCGCACCAUGGGCCACUCCGGAGUAGAAUAGAGUCCACCUCCUAUCCAGGAGUGUGGUUCCAGAGCCGAGGCUGUGCGUAGAGGUAAGCCCCACCAGAUCCAACUGAUAACGCUCCACCUCCCGCACAAGCGCCGGCUCCUUCCUCCCCAGAGAGGUUACGUUCCACGUCCCCAGAGCCAGCAUCUGUCGCCCAGGUCUGUUCCGUCUAGACCCCCCACUGUUACUGCCACGCGACCCCAUCGGUUUCCUCCACAGGUGGUGAGCCCAUGGGGAGUAGAGUCUUGGGCUGCCGCGUCACUCCUUCUGGCUGUGCCCGGCCGGGCUCCGCGGUAAACCCGGCCACCAGACGCUCGCUGUCGGGCCCUCCAUCUGGGCCUGGCUCCAAAUGGGGGCCCCGGGCUUCCUCCGGGAAACUCCUUCUCUAUAUCUCAUCUCUAUACAUCUCUCUUCUGUUUUUUCAUGGGGUCUUUUUGAACCAUUCUUAGUCUGGCCCCUCACCUGAGACCACUUUGCCAAGGGUAACCCUACCAGGAGCACAAGGCUCCCGACAACACAGCCCUCAGAGUCAUAGGGACACACAAACCUCUCCACCACGAUAAGGUGACGGUUACCAGCCUGCUUCAAGGCCUCCACCAUCAUCCCUGUUCCCAAGAAGCCCAGGACUCAAUGACUACAGACCCGUCGCCCUGACCUCUGUAGUCAUGAAGUCUUUUGAACGGCUAGUCCUGUCCCACUUGAAGACCCUCAAUGACCCCCUCCUGGACCCCCUGCAGUUCGCCUACAGAGCCAACAGGUCUGUGGACGAUGCUGUCAACAUGGCCCUCCACUACAUCCUCCAGCAUCUGGACUCCCCAGGAACCUACGCCAGGAUCCUGUUUGUGGACUUCAGCUCUGCUUUUAACACUCUUCUUUCCACUCUUCUCUUCUCCCUGUACACAAACAGCUGCACCUUCAGUCACCAGUCCAUCAAGCUCCUGAAGUUUGCGGAUGACACCAGCCUCAUUGGACUGAUCUCUGGUGGGGAUGAGUCCGCCUACAGGUGGGAGUCUGACCAUCUGGUGUCGUGGUGCAGCCAGAACAACCUGGAGCUCAACGCUGACAAGACAAUGGAGAGGAUUGUGGACAGGAAGAACAGAGUCCCACACUGCAUGAAAAGUGAGAUUUUCGUCCCCGUAAACGCCCGGAAAUCUCCCAAAUUUCCGACAAUUUGCAACCCGCGCACGUCGUGUUUGUCUGUGCCACAAAUUGUCGGAAACGAACCAUGACGUAGGCGGAGAGCUGGCGGAGGUGCGAAUGGCCCGAAUUAGCAUAUGAAUGCAGCGAAGCCGCGGGUGGCCGAGCGGAGCGGGCUUGAAUAUCCUUACUCCUUAUUGGAUGAAACCACAACUUACGAACAAAUGAAAUCACUCGUGAUUGGCAGCAAAACCACACUUGGGCAGACCAGGCUUGAGUUUCCUUGUUCAUGAUUGGAUGAAAACAUCUUUCAAUCACUCGUGAUUGGUUGGCAGAUCUGUCGCUAUUGGUCACCCGCCUCAUUUUAUUUAUAUAUUCAUAUUAUGAUGUAUAUUCAUUUCAUUGUUAUCAUAUGCAGGCUACUACACUAUUAUUAGGAUACCGACCAGGACAUCAAUGAAUUUAGAGAGAAAAUGAACAUUUGCCACAUGUUUAUGCAAAGAAAAAGCUUUAUUAACAACACACAAACAACAACUACAUACAAAGUGAGGAUCUGCCCACACUUGGGUAACGGCGGUUUAAAAACUACAGCUCAGUAAACUGUCCGUUUGCCUCCUCGGGGUUGUUGACCGUCACUGGCGCCGUGUUUUCCGAGGCAGGUCUGUUGUGCAGGCGGCUCGUGUGCGUGUGGCGACCGUACAAUCCACCCCGAGACCCCGCCAACAACGCCGUCCCCUCCGUCCGACGUGAGCUCCACGGUGGCGGAUUUCCAGCGUUCCACCUCGUCAUCAGCCAGCACACUUUGUCUCGAUUCCAGCAGCUGUAAAAACAACAAUGAAUCAGUACUGUGCGAUGCGUACGGACACAACACAUCGAUCAAUGCACCUGAAAAAAGUCAGCAAAUAAACUCUGACCCGCUUUCUUCUCGCUCAACUCCGCGCUGAAUCCUUCGCAGCUUCCGCUCGCAAUGAGUGUUCCGCCUGAACCUGAAGCUCCUGCGUCCCGUCUCACAAUACGUCUCACAGGCGGCUGGAAAACAAUUAAAUGAGUGUGGUAUGAAUACAAAAAGAAAGUCAAACGCAAGUCACAGUAACAUUUAACAAGGAAGGAGAAACAGUGCCACUUACACACAAUGACGUCGUCUAAAUCUGGAUUUUUCCCGGAGCAAAUACGAGGUCACCGCCUCAUUAUGAGGCGAGAUUAGUCUGUGAAAACAAAAUGUACAGUUAUGAUCGGUAUCUAUACGUAUAUAUUCCCUUAUAGCGCAGAAUGAAAGCAUAUUCUUUAAAUCUGACCCUUGCUCCGGUUCGUAGCGCCUGUAAUUAGUCUCGGAGUUGUGAAGACGGUGCACCGCUUCCUGUAAACGACACGGCAAAGAAAACACACUUUAAUCAAGCUGUUUCUGCUCACUUGUAAGGCUACUAGGCUACUCUUAGCUUAGCUUGAGGUUACGCUACUUUUAGCUUAGCCUGCAGUCAUCGAACGUAUUCUUACCGCUAUCUUGGGAUCGGAACUUGGGUCGGUUCCUCUCCUCCAUGGACAGAAACCCGCAGAGUCCCGAACGCUCCAGUGGAGCGAACCGCUCGUUGAUAUCGGCAGUUUGUUGUUGGAGUUGACAAGACGAUCCACUGAGAGCUUUCAGCAGCUUCUUCUCGUCUGUCUGCGGACUGGCCGAAAGUUGGUGACCGCGGAGAGGAGUUGAAGGCGAGUUGAACGCGAGAUGUCGUCCAGCCAUUAUUCACGAACCAGCAAAAACCAAACAAAGGAACUGGAGAUACAGUUCUUCUGUGUAUAGUAACACACACGUGUCUGUUUGCAUGCUCGUCUUGUAAGUACUGCUGUAUCAGUUAUGCCUAUGACCUCACACGUGAUUGGACGAGGAGUCUAAGGGUCCUCCAAUCACAUACGAGGUUAUUGUUAUACGGAAGGAUCAGUAUUUUAGGAAGACAAAUGGUUGGGACUUUGAAACAGCUGAUAUGCUUUAUGUAAAGCAGUGUUUUGGUGUCAGCAGAACGACUUUCCCUAGAAAACUGUACAGUGGUGCCUCUUUCUCCAUUCCACCAGACAAUCUUGAGUCUGAAAGACAUGCAAUGUUGACAAUGUAUAAUCAGAUGUACCCUUGUGUUACCGAGGUUGAAUGUUUUGCCGUGACAUGUAAACGGGUAACAUAUAUGAAUGUAACUUACUCAAUCGAUAGAUGCAGAGCAUAAAGGUCAGCGUAUGUUCAUGCUAAGUGGUGUGGAAACACUAACAGUUUUGAGGAACCCGUCCUUGACCCUCUAGCAGAACCACGACCAGCCAUUAUAAAGCAGUUUAUAGUUGUUAAUGUUGUGUCAAAGGGUAUGUCAUUUAAACAUGUUCUUGCACAAGUUUCCUGGCUUCAUCUCCACCCGGACAGACAUUUUUAUGGAAAGCCAAUAGAAGUUUGGGGCUUGCAGGGAACAGACACGUCGUACCCAGCAUCAUUUCUGCCAGUUGAGCGCAUUGCUAGAAGAUGUGUGGUUAAUACAUCCUCUGUGCAUUUAAGAAGACCAAAGAAAAGGUCACUGUAGUCCUGCCACUAUGCACUGUAGUUGAGUUCUAGGAGACUAUGAUCUCUGCAGACACCUCAUGCUGAUUCAAAUGUUGUUUGCAUGGAAUGCUCAUUUUACCUUGAUUAAAACUCAUCUUUUAAGGAAGUUAUUGUGUGUAUCUUUUUUACAUAACAUUUGCCAUUGCUAAUGGCGUACACAGUAAUCUAGCAUAUUUGAAUUAAAUAAAUCAAUUCAAGCUAAAAUGUAAGACUAUAAUUAGGCUACUGAGCCUGAUCUAAAAAAAAUGUCACCUGGGCUAAAACUCCCUCUGCAACCCUGAUUUGCAUUUGUAUAGCUCACAGCAUUUUCAUUUACAUGUCAAAGCCUCCCCUAGAAUUAGGAGGAGGGGGGUCAUGGGGGGACAACUGCCAAGGGAGGCCCACAUCAAUUUCUGACAAUUUCCGGCAGUUUUCGGCGUUGCCUGCAAAUUGCCGCAAACCUGAAAUUCCACGACAAUUUACAGUGCCACAUACUGCCGAAAAUCCCACUUUUCAUGCAGUGUUAAAUUCAUUAUUUUCCUCAACAUUCUACACACAACAACCCAUGAUGACAAAGUGAACUGUUUUUUGCAAAUCUUUGCAAAUGUGUUAAAAAAUAAAGAACGAAAACAUAACAUGUACAUAAGUAUUCACAGCCUUUGCCAUGACACUCAAAAUUUAGCUCAGGUGCAUUCUUUUUCCACUGAUCAUCCUUGAGAUGUUUCUACAACUGAAUUGGAGUCCACCUGUGCUAAAUUCAGUUGAUUGGACAUGAUUGAGAAAGGCACACACCUGUCUAUAUAAGGUAUCACAGUUGACAGUGCAUAUCAGAGCAUAAACCAAGCCAUAAAGUCCAAGGAAUUAUUUGUAAACCUCCGAGACAGAAUUGUACCGAGGCACAGAUCUGGCGAAGGGUACAGAAAGAUUUCUGCAGCAUUGAAAGACCCAAUGAGCACAGUGGCCUGACAGAGCUCCAGCGUUGUUCUAUGAAGAGAGGAGAACCUUCCAGAAGGACAACCAUCUCUGCAGCACUCCACAAAUCAGGCCUGUUUGGUAGAGGGGCCAGACGGAAGCCACUCCUCAGUAAAAAGCACAUGACAGCCCGCCUGGAGUUUGCAAAAAAGCACCUGAAGGACUCUCAGACCAUGAGAAACAAAAUUCUCUGGUCUGAUGAAACAAAGAUUGAACUCUUUGGCCUGAAUGCCAAGCGUCAUGUCUGGAGGAAACCAGGCACUGGCACAUUUUGGAAAAAGGCUGUAACAUAACAAAAUCUGGAAAAGUGAAGCUCUGUGAAUACUUUACGGAUGCACUGUAUAUAAGCUGCACCGGUCUGUAAGCCGCAGGUGUUCACGCGGUAGUAAAACGACUGCUGACGCCGAGUUGUCCAUGUCGGAGUUGACAUUGCCGUCUCCAACCAUUGAUUCAUUAUUAGCAAGUUUACGUACAGCCAGUGGUGUAGUCUACGUGACACGCAGGUAUACGCCGUAUACCUAGUAGGAAAAGUCAAGGAUUUCUGAUACCCUCCAACGAACGCGUGAUGAUACGAAACAACAUUGUUUCCACUCCCUCCAGGAAAUAUACAAGACCACGAAUCGUUACUGAUGGAUUCAUUCCAUUUAUGGACAUCUCUCUCUCCACACCAUCUUCAUACACCUUUAUCGACUUGUCGUCCACAUUGGUAUCCAGCGUCGAACUAUAACACAUUGACAGGCUUCAAGCUAUCGUCAUACGUAUUGAAAACAAAUAUGUAUGACAAAACCUUAAAAAUAACGAACCUCACUGGCUGCACACGACCAAGAGGGGAAUGAGAACACUUUAAAUCAAUGACUACUUAUUGGGCACCCUGUCUUUUUAAUUAUUAAUCAUUUUGCGGAAUAUUAACGCUACUUGAUGCUUCACAUGCUACUUGGGCUUCGUGACACUAAACUAUGUCCCUGCGAAAGGAAUUAAGUAAACAUAGUUGUUACUUAGUGUAAAUUAAACAAAAAAUACAUGUUCCACAAAAUGCACAACAACCAAUAAAUAAACAAGUGCAUCAAAAUGACAAAUUAUAUUCAUGACAGUUAAAAUCUGACUCCGAGCCGUGUAGGCUCCUAUUCAAACUCCCCGUUGGCCCUAGUGUAUAAACCGCAGGGUUCAAAACGUGGGAAAAAGGUAGCGGCUUAUAGUCCGGAUUUUACGGUGACUAAUAAAUACACUUCCGCUCUUACAGAAACACUCAAUACUGUAAACCGUUAACAAAUUAUAUUAAUAGUUUGAAGUUAAAAAAACGUCCUUAAUGUAGUCAAUCGUCGUCUUGUGCUUUAAAAAAAAAAAAGUAUUGGUUUAGGCACUGGUAUGUUUUAAACAUUGUUUUAGCCACGUUAUCGUAAAAAAUCCAAAUCAUACCCAUUCCUAGUGGAUAAUUGUAAAUGUUUUUCUUGUUGCCAUACACUGUGUAUGCUUUUGAAUUCUCAUUGUUUGUUAGUUUAAAUACUACAUCAUCUUCUCACUUUUACUUGUACACACCGAGAUUUCACAAAAUGUUUAGUUAUGGAAUUCAUGUCAUGGAUAUCCAUUGGUCAUCAUUGGACAUAUCUUUUUCACAUAAUUAUUAUUGAGGAAAUUCCAGCAUCUUUUGAAAGCACCAAUAUAAAAUAGUGUAGAUUGAGCAAACAAGUGUUAAAACAAAUUAGGAUAUGGAGAUCUUUUGUUUCAAAUUUUUCCAUAGAGUCAUGCAGUAUUUAGAUCAUUUAGUCCUGUAUUUGAAUAACCAUCACCAGCAACACUUUACAAAGCAGACGAAGGACGUCUGUGAAGUCAGCACAUUGAGCUCUACUUAUUUUUUUUAUCAUAGUCCAUAACUCUACAAAUUGUGUCCCUGUGACCUCAACAUAAGUCAAUGGAAUCAGAAAUUGCAUAAAUGUUGAUAAUUAUGGCUGUUUAUCAGUAUUGAUAUCUAGGUGCAGUUCUGCACGCUGGGCCAGCAAUAAUGCAAUUUUAUUCCAGGCGGAAGAGAAGGGGAAUUAAAUCAUGGGACUGGAACAGGAUGCCCUGGGAGAUAACCAGGGUAAGCCAAAGAGGACACCUGAGCUCUCUCAAGGAUGGAUGCUCACGGGGAAAUAUAGAUGCUGCUGUGAGGACCAGUACUUUGCAUCUUGUAUCCAGGUUUAAAAACAAAAAAGUCAAAUCUUUUUUUUUUCAUCCUUUUUGAGAACCAUAAAGCUGAUUGUCAAUUUAAUCACAAUAACAUAAAAUGAAUAUUUAACAUAUUGCAUGAACAGUUCCGUGGUUUCAUUUCAUUAUUAAAAUUGAACAUCUAUUAAAAUUCAUCUAUUGCAUUUCAGUAUUUAAAUUACCCUUAACAUUGUGGUCGCGUUGAGAUUUCAAAUGAAGUGUGCAACGCAACACAAUGAAAUGUUGAUAUUAACUGCGCAGACACGUGUAACAGAACACUAAACUAAUGCAAGUUAUAAGUGUAUUAAUCUUUAUUGAUAUACUUUACAAAGGAUAAAUGGAAAUCAAUUAAUAUGGCUGCUGGAGAUUCUUUCUCUGAAGAUGUCCCAUAUUUAAGAAAAGUAAAGUAUGCCAAUUAUUAUAAAAGAGAUACAACGGAUUGGAUGCCACUCCUAAAGUUUCAUAGCUGUGAAACAGAAUAUUGAAAGCUUCAAAAUAUUUUGAAUUGGUAGCUUUCAAAACUAAUAUAUUUGUGCCAUCUACUAAAGACCAAACAAUUUUUUUGGCCCCUUCCUGGAAAAUUGCUUCAUCAUCAAAAGAGGAUAUUUAAUGUUUGCAAACAGGAGCCAGAGUUGGAAAUAUAUAGUUGGAAGAUAAACAUGCUAAAACAGGGGGGCUCUGGCUGGUAGUUGACCAUCUUUCAUCAUCUUUGGCACCACAAGAUUACAAACAAACAUCUUGAUCAUUUUGUAAAGGUCACACAGAAAAAAGGAAGGGCUGAGGCCAGAAUUGGCCUGCAUUUAUUGGAUAAAUGUAUAUUUUCCGUUCAUCAAUCUUAUCCUUCUACCUUCACUGAGGGCACAGUUAACCUGGAGUCCAUUUCGCUUGAUAUAGGUUGUGCACAGAGGGAUGGUAGGAUAUUUAAGGACUACUCCUUCGUUUAUAUUUUUUCAAUUUAACUCAUUCCUUAGAUCUCCGUUUCUAAUUUUGUAGUAUUGGUCAUAUUUUUUUAGUUUUAAGCGCAAUUUGGGGUGGACAUUUUUUGUAUGUGCAGUCAGACGAGUUCAUUAUUUACCAGUCCACUCAUCGAACCUGGAUUGAAUUUGAACAGGGGAAUAUCCCCUGUUUUCUGUCUAUUCUGUCAGAAAGCCCAGCGCUGCAGUGGAGUUACAACAACACGGAAAAAAAUAGGCAUCAAAUCGUUAGAGCAUUCGAUGCUGUAUCCGCUAUGGGUAUCAUUCUCUUAUACAAACCUUGUCAAAUUCCAAAAACCAUCAAGUAAUCAAAGUGUAUAAAUCAUAAUUGUCCCUUGCCUAUGCCAUUUUUAAUGGAAUUAUAAACUUAAUUCAGUUUUUUGCGAAUUUUGUGCGCCUCACAAGCACUCAUAGCCUUUCACGCAGAUUUUGGGGGACAAUUCUAGUCGGAUCCAAUUGAACACGACGAAUCAAAAAAGUGGUUUAACCAUGCGAAUUGGCCAACCAGAGCCCGAUUUAGGAAAAAAAUCCAGAUUUUCGCCCCUGCCGUUUCUAUGCCGUGAGGCCUACACUAAAGCCGCUCUAUAGUAGUCCAGCUUCACACUAUUAACGUAAAAUUUUCCAUGAUUACUUUCUAUCACGUAGAUGUGUUUUAGUUACACUUUUUAGCGUGGAUCUUUUUCGCACAGUAAACAGUAAACCUGUACAUGAGCAGACGAGGCCCUCCUUAAGCCUAGUUUAUGCUUCUGCGUUUUCAGAGCGACGCAGACGCAAGACCCCCUUGAGUGUCCCUUGCGUGCCUUUUCACACGUCCUUGCGUGUCUCGACCCAUUUUUCUAGGCUUGCGAUGCUUUCGACGCAAGCCUCCCACAGGGCACAAGGCUGUGAUUGGUCUGCUAACUACAUCCUUUACGGAGUCUCACAUUUCCGUUUUCAUAGCACCGCCAUAAUACCGCCAUUAUUAAAACGAAGAAUGUUUACAAGAGAACGGAUCAGAUUUACGAACUUUUGUCGAAGGAAAUGCGUAAAUAUGACCGCUUAUACAAGCCGUCAUUGGAUUCAUGGAGGGAGAUCGCCGCAAACGUUGGUUUGCCGGUCGAGGUGCACAAAGUUGUGGAGGAAAAUACGGGACAAAUGUGUCCGCGAUGAAAAGCAGCAGUGGCGAUGCACGGGACAAUAAAGUCUAUGAUAACAAAACACGUUAUUCCACCUGUUCUGGCGGUGAAUUGCUCUGCAACACACGCAAGACUUUUAGAACUAUGAAUUGAAACGAGUGCGUCAACGCAGAAGCAUGCGCCAGCCUUAACUUAACAAACCCAAUUAAUAAAUGUCAUGAUCCAUCCAUCCAUUGUCAAACCGCUUAUCCUGCACUCAGGGUCGCGGGGGGGCUGGAGCCCAUCCCAGCCAACUUCGGGCGAUAGACAGGGUACAUCCUGGAUUGGUCGCCAGCCAAUCGCAGGGCAACACAGAGACAUACAACCAUUCACACUCACAUUCACACAUCUACGGGCAAUUUAAAGUCCCCAAUUAACCUGAUCCCCAGAGCAUGUCUUUGGACUGUGGGAGGAAGCCGGAGAACCCGGAGAGAACCCACGCAGACACGGGGAGAACAUGCAGACUCCACACAGAAAGGCCACUGGGCGGAAUCGAACCCAGGACCUUCUUGCUGUGAGGCAACAGUGCUAACCACCAUGCCGCCCAAAUGUCAUGAUAGCAAAAAAUAUGUUAACUGCUGCAGUUCCAUCCUGAUCUCAUCACUUUUUAACUAACAUUGAAAUACAUUAUACAACAUCUAAAAAUGGAUAUUCUAGCAACACACUAUUUCAAAAAUAUCUCAACUGCAUGACCUCCGAACUUCCACAAAUUUGAAAUUUGAAACACAUCCCUUCUCUGAGGUGUCUUCCCACAAGCUCUGUAAACUGUAGUUCUUAAACCAAUCCUUAAACGAAAAGGGUAAAUUCACUUGUAAAAGUAUUGCAUGUGACACAGUCAACCAUUAUAUACUACUGGAGAGACUACAAAUCUGGGUGGAACUCUGGUUCGGCAAGCAAGGAGAAUACUUUGUAGCUAAUUACACAGCAGAGCAGACCAAAAUGACAUGUUGUGCUCCCCAAGGUUCAAUUCGGUGGCCUCUCCUAUUCAACAUCUACAUGCUUCCAUUAGCUCAGGUAAUGGAAAGGCGCAGUGUGAAGGCAAGUGUGUUGUCAUAAUUAUGCAGACGACCCACAAUUCUACAUAACUGUAUCCCAUACAAGAGUUUAGUAAAUGCAUUGAACAAAUCUGGAUCAAAGAAACUGGAUCUGCCAUGAUUGUCUUCAAUAAAGCAAAGAUCAAACAGAAGUAAUUGUUCUGAUUUUAAACAUGAACCACCCAGGAAAUGUAGGUGUGAACUUUAGUAGACAGGACUAUUGUAACGGUGUGUUCACAGGUCUCUGUAAAAAGUUAAUCACAUUCCUCCAGUUCUGAGAAUGCUAUACAAAUAAUCCUCCCUUGUUUGCUAGGGUCUUUUUGCCUGACUAAUAGCGUCCAGUUCUCAGACUGGUUUCCUUUGUCUUGUCCUCUAUACUUGCUAAUGAGAAUACAAACGGUACAGUUUUGAUAAUUUCUUGCUUGGUUCAACCAUUUAUACUCUUUGCACCGUGCACUGCAUUACUCUUUGAAAGUUCGGAGAGCCUAAAAAUCAAAAAGCUGUGAAUAAUCCCACAAAAUGUGUGGCCAGUGUUUUCCACAGAUCCAACGUCAAUGUGUAAAUGGUAAAUGAUCUUUACCUGUACAGCGCUUUUCUAGUCUUCCGACCACUCAAAGCGCUUUAACACUACAUGACAUCAUUCAUACACUGAUGACAGGAGAACCAUACACAGUGACACCUGCCCAUCAGUAAUUAACAUCCACACACUGUAGUCCCAGCUAAAGGAGCAAUGUUGGGUUAAGUGUCUUGCCCAAGGACACAUCGACAUACGGGUUAGCCAGGCCUGUGAUCGAACCGACAACCCUCUGAUUUGGAGGACGACCGUGCUCCCCACUCGCCCACAAUGUCCAAUUGUGGGGCCUGACCGCUGAACUGAAAGAAUUCAAUCAAUAUUAAUUUGUAACACAGAACUUUAUUGGAGUAAAUACAAAACAGGGAUUCAUGCCUAUACCAACGUUGUACUAAAACACACAUCACUAGAUAGAACUACACAACUCCCAUAGCUGUAGUACACAUGUCACACCCUGUACUACUUGUUGUUACAGCCUACAUGCGCAAAGUCUGCAACUUCUGUCAGAGCAACGUCUUCUCUGCACCAAGUAGGCUAGGCCACGCUUCCAGGGAUGAUCUCGUUUUCAUGACACGCGAGACAGACGCGGUGUACACGGAGGGGAGGGGCUGUGUGUGUAUAUGUGAGACGGAGGGAGAGCAGGGAAAGGAACUGCAGCUGAACGAAUACGCUGCGUGAUUUAAAUUGUGUUAAAACAUUUUUUUUAAAGAAAUACACCAAAUGCAAUCUGUGGCGGCCAGUGUUGAAUCUGUGGCGCACCGCCACAAAUUAGUCUAUGUGUGGGAAACCACCGGUAGCUACACAAAAGCCAAAUACCAUCUCCAAUCUGUAAACAUCCCUUUCACCUGGACAAGCCCUGUGAAGUAGUCAAUGAUUUAAAGUAAUAUGUAAGGAAAGAAUUGAAUUUCACUGAAUUUCAAUACUUUUUUUGAUUUGUUAGACCUUGUUUUGCCUUUUAACAAGCAUCUAAAAAGGUCUGUAUUUUCUAAUCGGUCGACAUAUAAAGUUGCUAUGCCCAAUUGACUACGUGACCUUCUGGCGUGCUCCUCUCACAGGCUACUCAAUGGAGAGAAAGAACUGGCUUUAAAUCCCAAACACACGCUCCUUGUAUCUGCCUUUCUAUCCAAUGUAGGUUACUCACCCCCCAUCGCUCUACUAUUGCCAAUUUUCCAUCAAGCUCUCAAUAGCAGGGAUGAAGAAAACGGACAGGGACCGGCCACUUUCAUUUUAUCUGUAAAUCGAUAGAGAAGGCUGAGGCCGCCGUUUAAGACACAAUACGUUUAUAUUUACCAUUUCACUCUUUAUCUAUCAAACUCUCUCAGCUCCUCUAGUCAGUCUUGUUUAUGUUUUCCUCACUCGGUCCAUCACUCUCACUUCUGUUUGCUCGGUUGAACUUUCUGCCACUAUUUUUUUCUUUGCACACGUGGAAAAUCAAAGACACACACGUGUUGUAUUUAGCCUGCUGCUCCUGCUAAGUCAUCAGCAUCGAUGAGUUUCACUGUGAGGCUGUUGAUUUCCCAUAAAAAGCCCUCCUUAGACACUUAGAACACUCCUGCUGUUGUCAUUAAAUCGGUUCGCUUAACCUGCUCUUUUCCAGGAACACCAGUAUUCACCAGUGGCAUAGUGCAUGCAAUUAUGACAGGUCCCAAUAUUUGCGAUGCAAACUUUGGGCCCCAGUUCAUUUUGUGCCUUUGGGCCCCAGUGCUUGGUCUCACCAAAGGCUCCUGUACGCGCAAUUAUCACAAGCCCCACCAACUGCUGAUGUGCUCAGCUUGUUAGUUUGUACAUAUAAACCAGGUAACUAAAUAAAAUUGUCAUGUCAGAUGAGCAAAUAAUUAUUUAUAACUGCAGAU